GUGACUGCGUACCUUUUGUAUAAUGGGUCAGCGACUUAUAUUCUGUAGCAAGGUUAACCGAAUAGGGGAGCCGAAGGGAAACCGAGUCUUAACUGGGCGUUAAGUUGCAGGGUAUAGACCCGAAACCCGGUGAUCUAGCCAUGGGCAGGUUGAAGGUUGGGUAACACUAACUGGAGGACCGAACCGACUAAUGUUGAAAAAUUAGCGGAUGACUUGUGGCUGGGGGUGAAAGGCCAAUCAAACCGGGAGAUAGCUGGUUCUCCCCGAAAGCUAUUUAGGUAGCGCCUCGUGAACUCAUCUCCGGGGGUAGAGCACUGUUUCGGCAAGGGGGUCAUCCCGACUUACCAACCCGAUGCAAACUGCGAAUACCGGAGAAUGUUAUCACGGGAGACACACGGCGGGUGCUAACGUCCGUCGUGAAGAGGGAAACAACCCAGACCGCCAGCUAAGGUCCCAAAGUCAUGGUUAAGUGGGAAACGAUGUGGGAAGGCCCAGACAGCCAGGAUGUUGGCUUAGAAGCAGCCAUCAUUUAAAGAAAGCGUAAUAGCUCACUGGUCGAGUCGGCCUGCGCGGAAGAUGUAACGGGGCUAAACCAUGCACCGAAGCUGCGGCAGCGACGCUUAUGCGUUGUUGGGUAGGGGAGCGUUCUGUAAGCCUG
rnacentral:rRNA from 1 species